GUUCUCAUUGAGGCCCGUUAUCGGAAUGAGUACAAUCCAAACCCUUUAACGAGGAUCUAUCAGAGGGCAAGUCUGGUGCCAGCAGCCGCGGUAAUUCCAGCUCUGAAGGUGUAUACCACCGUUGUUGCGGUUAAAACGCUCGUAGUUGGAUCUACGUUCGUGGGGUCGGUGUUCUCGUUUGAGUUCUACUGACUACCUGAACUGAAACAGCUGGUUUUCCCUUGGUGCUCUUUAUUGGGUGCCCUGGGUGGCUAGCAAGUUUACUUUGAAAAAAUUAGAGUGCUCAAAACAGGCGAAUGCCUGAAUAGUGGUGCAUGGAAUAAUGGAAUAGGAUCUUGGUCCUAUUUUGUUGGUUUUCGGGAGCCAAGAUAAUGAUUAAGAGGGACAGACGGGGGCAUUCGUAUUGCAGCGUUAGAGGUGAAAUUCUUGGAUCGUUGCAAGACGAACAACUGCGAAAGCAUUUGCCAAGAAUGUUUUCAUUAAUCAAGAACGAAAGUUAGAGGUUCGAAGGCGAUCAGAUACCGCCCUAGUUCUAACCGUAAACGAUGCCAACUCGCGAUCUAGUGGUGUUAUUUAUGACCCGCUAGGGAGCGUCCCGGAAACGAAAGUUUUUCGGUUCCGGGGGAAGUAUGGUUGCAAAUCUGAAACUUAAAGGAAUUGACGGAAGGGCACCACCAGGAGUGGAGCCUGCGGCUUAAUUUGACCCAACACGGGAAAACUCACCCGGCCCGGACACCGUAAGGAUUGACAGAUUGAGAGCUCUUUCUUGAUUCGGUGGGUGGUGGUGCAUGGCCGUUCUUAGUUGGUGGAGCGAUUUGUCUGGUUAAUUCCGAUAACGAACGAGACUCUAUCCUACUAAAUAGCAAGCGGAUCAGCCCAGUCCGCAGUGCUUCUUAGAGGGACAAGCAGCUUUUAGCUGCACGAAAGUGAGCAAUAACAGGUCUGUGAUGCCCUUAGAUGUCCGGGGCUGCACGCGCGCUACACUGAAAGGAUCAGCGUGCAAGAUACCUUCCCCGAGAGGGGUGGGUAACCCAAUCAAAACCUUUCGUGAUUGGGACAGGAGAUUGCAAUUAUUCUCCUUGAACGAGGAAUUCCCAGUAAGUGUGGGUCAUCAGCUCGCGCUGAUUACGUCCCUGCCCUUUGUACACACCGCCCGUCGCUGCCCGGAACUGAGCCGUUUCGAGAAGAACAGGGACUGCUGUUUGGUGGCCUUCGGGUUGCCUCUUGGCGGAAACUGUUUU
rnacentral:rRNA from 1 species